AGAGUUUGAUCCUGGCUCAGAAUCAACGCUGGCGGCGUGCCUAACACAUGCAAGUCGAACGAGAAAGGGUAGCAAUACCUGAGUAAAGUGGCGACCGGGUGAGUAACACGUGACUAACCUACCCUAGAGUGGGGAAUAACCUCGGGAAACCGGGGCUAAUACCGCAUAAAGUCCAGAGGCUGAAAUGCCAUUGGACCAAAGGAGUAAUUCGCUCAAGGAGGGGGUCGCGGUUGAUUAGCUAGUUGGUGGGGUAAUGGCCCACCAAGGCGAUGAUCAAUAGCCGGCCUGAGAGGGCGCACGGCCACACUGGAACUGAAACACGGUCCAGACUCCUACGGGAGGCAGCAGUGGGGAAUUUUGCGCAAUGGGGGAAACCCUGACGCAGCAACGCCGCGUGAAGGAUGAAGGUCUUUGGAUUGUAAACUUCUUUCGUCCGGGAAGAUAAUGACGGUACCGGAAUAAGAAGCCCCGGCUAACUUCGUGCCAGCAGCCGCGGUAAUACGAAGGGGGCGAGCGUUGUUCGGAAUUAUUGGGCGUAAAGGGAGCGUAGGCGGUUCGAUAAGUCACUUGUGAAAUCUCUGGGCUCAACCCAGAGUCUGCAAGCGAAACUGUCGGGCUUGAGUAUGGGAGAGGUGAGUGGAAUUCCUGGUGUAGCGGUGAAAUGCGUAGAUAUCAGGAGGAACACCUGUGGCGAAAGCGGCUCACUGGACCAUUACUGACGCUGAUGCUCGAAAGCUAGGGGAGCAAACAGGAUUAGAUACCCUAGUAGUCC
rnacentral:rRNA from 1 species